rnacentral:rRNA from 1 species
CAGCCGCCGCGGUAAUACAGAGGGUGCGAGCGUUAAUCGGAUUUACUGGGCGUAAAGCGUGCGUAGGCGGCUUUUUAAGUCGGAUGUGAAAUCCCUGAGCUUAACUUAGGAAUUGCAUUUGAUACUGGGAAGCUAGAGUAUGGGAGAGGAUGGUAGAAUUCCAGGUGUAGCGGUGAAAUGCGUAGAGAUCUGGAGGAAUACCGAUGGCGAAGGCAGCCAUCUGGCCUAAUACUGACGCUGAGGUACGAAAGCAUGGGGAGCAAACAGGAUUAGAUACCCCGGUAGUCCCUGUCUCUUAUAC